rnacentral:rRNA from 1 species
CUGCUGCCUUCCGUAGGAGUCUGGGCCGUGUCUCAGUCCCAAUGUGGCCGUCCACCCUCUCAGGCCGGCUACUGAUCGUUGCCUUGGUGUGCUUUUACCACUCCAACUAGCUAAUCAGACGCGGGUCCAUCUCAUACCAGAUUUCUCCUUUUCACACAAAAACAUGCGUUCCCGUGCGCUUAUGCGGUUUUACCACCAGUUUCCCGAUGCUAUCCCCCUGUAUGAGGCAGGUUGCCCACGCGUUACUCACCCG